rnacentral:rRNA from 1 species
GACGAACGCUGGCGGCGUGCUUAACACAUGCAAGUCGAACGAAAAGAGGGAAAGAGCUUGCUCUUUCCGGAAUUGAGUGGCAAACGGGUGAGUAACACGUAAACAACCUGCCUUCAGGAUGGGGACAACAGACGGAAACGACUGCUAAUACCGAAUAAGUUCCAAGAGCCGCAUGGCCCAUGGAAGAAAAGGUGGCCUCUACCUGUAAGCUAUCGCCUGAAGAGGGGUUUGCGUCUGAUUAGCUGGUUGGAGGGGUAACGGCCACCAAGGCGACGAUCAGUAGCCGGUCUGAGAGGAUGAACGGCCACACUGGAACUGAGACACGGUCCAGACUCCUACGGGAGGCAGCAGUGGGGAAUCUUCCGCAAUGGGCGAAAGCCUGACGGAGCAACGCCGCGUGAGUGAUGACGGCCUUCGGGUUGUAAAACUCUGUGAUCCGGGACGAAAAGGCAGAGUGCGAAGAACAAACUGCAUUGACGGUACCGGAAAAGCAAGCCACGGCUAACUACGUG